UGAUUGCAAGAUUUUCUUUAGACACUUGUCAGGUCAAAUUCCCCAAGGUGUUUGUACAAGUAGCUCUGCUGAGGCAAGUGGGACUGCUGAAAAUACGAGAAGCAGAACUAGGCUUGCAGAAUCACCUGAACUGGGUUGCUUACAGCUCAAAAUAGAAUUUGCUUGGGAAAUAAGAAUGCAAUGAUCUCUUAAUCUUCAAGUGUGGUUCAAAAGUUUUGGCGGGGAAGGCACUAAAAGAAUAUGGCUGUGUUCCAGGAAUGAAAAAGAAGUAUUGUCACGGUGAAAAUAAAGUGAUGACCAAUGAAUAAAAAGAAGAUCAAGAUGUCUCAGAAACUGUUGGCCAAAUGCAAUGCAAUAAGGAUUGUUUCAUUAUGAAAGAUGAUGGGGCAAUGGACAUAAGGCAGGGUGGGCAGAAAUUCUGCCAUCUGGCAUGGGUUGUGAAACCAUGGUUUGGGCAUCACCACAUUUUGGAAAGAAGGCUGUUGGACUCUCUUUAAGCUAUCCCAUGAUGGUUUGCCACAUAUAGAUUCAGAAAUUGACUGUCAAGUUGUUCUUUAUACCGUGUUUUAUUGCCAUACAUGAAACAGCAUUGACUUUCC
rnacentral:lncRNA from 1 species